rnacentral:misc_RNA from 1 species
GAUGAAGAACGUAGCGAAAUGCGAUAAGUAAUGUGAAUUGCAGAAUUCAGUGAAUCAUCGAAUCUUUGAACGCACAUUGCGCCCGCCAGUAUUCUGGCGGGCAUGCCUGUUCGAGCGUCAUUUCAACCAUCAAGCCCCAGGCUUGUGUUGGGGACCUGCGGCUGCCGCAGGCCCUGAAAACCAGUGGCGGGCUCGCUGUCACACCGGGCGUAGUAGCAUACAUCUCGCUCUGGGCGUGCUGCGGGUUCCGGCCGUUAAACCACCUUCAUAACCCAAGGUUGACCUCGGAUCAGGUAGGAAGACCCGCUGAACUUAAGCAUAUCAAUAAGCGGAGGA